rnacentral:rRNA from 1 species
GCCGGUGGAGUAACCUUUUAGGAGCUAGCCGUCGAAGGUGGGACAAAUGAUUGGGGUGAAGUCGUAACAAGGUAGCCGUAUCGGAAGGUGCGGCUGGAUCACCUCCUUUCUAAGGA